UGGGGAAUUUUGGACAAUGGGGGAAACCCUGAUCCAGCCAUCCCGCGUGUGCGAUGAAGGCCUUCGGGCUGUAAAGCACUUUUGGCAGGAAAGAAACGUCGCGGGUUAAUACCCCGCGAAACUGACGGUACCUGCAGAAUAAGCACCGGCUAACUACGUGCCAGCAGCCGCGGUAAUACGUAGGGUGCAAGCGUUAAUCGGAAUUACUGGGCGUAAAGCGUGCGCAGGCGGUUCGGAAAGAAAGAUGUGAAAUCCCAGAGCUUAACUUUGGAACUGCAUUUUUAACUACCGGGCUAGGGUGUGUCAGAGGGAGGUGGAAUUCCGCGUGUAGCAGUGAAAUGCGUAGAUAUGCGGAGGAACACCGAUGGCGAAGGCAGCCUCCUGGGAUAACACUGACGCUCAUGCACGAAAGCGUGGGGAGCAAACAGGAUUAGAUACCCUGGUAGUCCACGCCCUAAACGAUGUCAACUAGCUGUUGGGGCCUUCGGGCCUUGGUAGCGCAGCUAACGCGUGAAGUUGACCGCCUGGGGAGUACGGUCGCAAGAUU
rnacentral:rRNA from 1 species